rnacentral:rRNA from 1 species
AGAGAGAGACAUGCGUGCAUAUCAAUAAGCGGAGGAAAAGAAACUAACUAGGAUUCCCUCAGUAACGGCGAGUGAAGCGGGAAGAGCUCAAAUUUGAAAUCUUCAAGGUUCUACCUUGACGAAUUGUAGUUUAAAGAAGUGUUUUCUGCUGGAGUUUUGGUAAAAGUUCUUUGGAAUAGGACAUCAUAGAGGGUGAGAAUCCCGUAUUUGACCAUUACUUUCCAACUUUGUGAUACACUUUCAAAGAGUCGGAUUGUUUGGGAAUGCAGUCCAAAAUGGGUGGUAAAUUUCAUCUAAAGCUAAAUACUGGCGAGAGACCGAUAGCGAACAAGUACCGUGAGGGAAAGAUGAAAAGAACUUUGAAAAGAGAGUUAAACAGUACGUGAAAUUGUCAAAAGGGAAGCGUUUGACACCAGUGUUGUUUUUCUGAAAAUCAAUUAAAGAACUGUUUAUGCUAAGCUGUUUAGACUUUAUCAGCUAAUCUGUUUAGUUUUGAGCUUUUCUUUAAUGCACUUUUCAGUUAACAAGUCAACAUCAAUUUCUUUUGCUGUAAAAAAGCUUGAGGAAGGUGGCUUGAGAUUCGUCUUAAGUGUUUAUAGCCUCUUGCCUAUGCAGUCGGAGAGAUUGAGGUCUGCAGCGUAGAUCCUUCGGGGCUAAAUGCAUUUGUGCUAAGUUAUAGCAUUUUAUAGACAACUUGUUGACUAUGAUUUGUCUUGUAGCUUACUCGCUUAUGUUAUUUUACCUACGCUUAGGAUGUUGAGCGCAUGUCUCUCUCU